rnacentral:rRNA from 2 species
AUAUCAAUAAGCGGAGGAAAAGAAACCAACAGGGAUUGCCUUAGUAACGGCGAGUGAAGCGGCAAAAGCUCAAAUUUGAAAUCUGGCACCUUCGGUGUCCGAGUUGUAAUUUGAAGAAGGUAACUUUGGAGUUGGCUCUUGUCUAUGUUCCUUGGAACAGGACGUCACAGAGGGUGAGAAUCCCGUGCGAUGAGAUGCCCAAUUCUAUGUAAAGUGCUUUCGAAGAGUCGAGUUGUUUGGGAAUGCAGCUCUAAGUGGGUGGUAAAUUCCAUCUAAAGCUAAAUAUUGGCGAGAGACCGAUAGCGAACAAGUACAGUGAUGGAAAGAUGAAAAGAACUUUGAAAAGAGAGUGAAAAAGUACGUGAAAUUGUUGAAAGGGAAGGGCUUGAGAUCAGACUUGGUAUUUUGCGAUCCUUUCCUUCUUGGUUGGGUUCCUCGCAGCUUACUGGGCCAGCAUCGGUUUGGAUGGUAGGAUAAUGACUAAGGAAUGUGGCUCUACUUCGGUGGAGUGUUAUAGCCUUGGUUGAUACUGCCUGUCUAGACCGAGGACUGCGUCUUUGACUAGGAUGCUGGCAUAAUGA